AAACCAUGACUGGGGCACUUCCUAAGCAACUCUUUGAACCUUUCUCAUCCCUCGUGAAAGUUUUUAGACUUAGCUUGCUAGUAGGUUGAGAUCUCAUGUUUGAGCUU